rfam:Desulfotomaculum gibsoniae DSM 7213, complete genome.
GGUCAAGCUAACAAGAGCGUACGGUGGAUGCCUGGGCGCUAAGGGCCGAAGAAGGACGUGGUAAGCUGCGAAAAGCUACGGUGAGCCGCAAGCAGGCAUAGAUCCGUAGAUCUCCGAAUGGGGCAACCCGUUACCUGUAACGAGGUAACAUCUUAUGCUGAAUCCAUAGGCAUAAGAAGGGCACCCGGUGAACUGAAACAUCUAAGUAGCCGGAGGAACAGAAAUCAACCGAGAACCCCCAAGUAGCGGCGAGCGAACCGGGGCCAGCCUAAACCUAUUUUGCGUGCAAAAUAGGGGUUGCGGGACUCUCGAAAGCGGACUAAUAGCCUUAGCCGAACCCGCCAGGAACGGCGGGCCACAGAAGGUAACAGCCCUGUAGGCGAAAAGGCAACGAGUUUAGAGAGCAUCCCAAGUACCGCGGGACACGUGAAACCCCGUGGGAAUCAGGGAGGACCACCUUCCAAGGCUAAAUACCCUUAGCGACCGAUAGCGCACAAGUACCGUGAGGGAAAGGUGAAAAGCACCCCGGGAGGGGAGUGAAAUAGAACCUGAAACCGUACGCUUACAAUCAGUCAUAGCACUAUUUAACGUGUAAUGGCGUACUUUUUGUAGAACGGACCGGCGAGUUACAUUUAGCGUGCCAGGUUAAGGCUGACAAAGGCCGUCAACCGCAGCGAAAGCAAGUCUUAAUAGGGCGCAAUAGUACGCUGAAGUAGACCCGAAACCGGGUGAUCUACCCAUGUCCAGAGUGAAGCGGAAGUAACAUUUCGUGGAGGCUCGAACCAACCGUCGUUGAAAAGGCGGUGGAUGAGGUGUGGGUAGGGGUGAAAUGCCAAUCGAACCCGGAGAUAGCUGGUUCUCCCCGAAAUAGCUUUAGGGCUAGCCUUGUACAAAAUACCCGGAGGUAGAGCACUGAAUGGGCUAGGGGCCUUCACCGGUUACCGAACUCAAUCAAACUGCGAAUGCCGGGCUAUUAAAGUACAGGAGUCAGACUGCGGGUGCUAAGAUUCGUAGUCGAGAGGGAAACAGCCCAGACCGCCAGUUAAGGUCCCUAAAUCGUGCUAAGUGGCAAAGGAUGUGAGGUUGCCCGGACAACCAGGAUGUUGGCUUAGAAGCAGCCACCAUUUAAAGAGUGCGUAAUAGCUCACUGGUCAAGUGACCUUGCGCCGAAAAUGUAACGGGGCUCAAGCACGAUACCGAAACUGCGGAAUUCAUUAUGAAUUGGUAGGGGAGCGUUCCCAUUGGAUUGAAGCUAUACCGUAAGGAGUAGUGGACUAAUGGGAAGUGAGAAUGCCGGUAUAAGUAAGCGCAAAGGCAGGUGAGAAUCCUGCCCGCCGAAAACCUAAGGAUUCCUGGGGAAGGCUCGUCCGCCCAGGGUAAGUCGGGCCCUAAGCCGAGGCUGAAAAGCGUAGGCGAUGGACAAUCGGUGGAGAAUCCGAUACCACCUUAAAGCCGCUAUUAGGAUGGGGUGACACAGGAGGGCAAGCCAAGCGCGCGGUUGGAAAAGCGCGUCCAAGCCCGUAGGGCGAACUGCAGGCAAAACCGCAGUUCAUACAGCCUGAGAGGUUAUGGGGAGCGAAAAUAAGUAGCGAAGUGGCUGCACCCAAACUGUCAAGAAAAACCUCUAACGAGGCUAUAAGGUGCCCGUACCGCAAACCGACACAGGUAGGUGGGGUGAGAAUCCUAAGGCGCGCGAGAAAACCCUCGUUAAGGAACUCGGCAAAAUGACCCCGUAACUUCGGGAGAAGGGGUACCCCAUUAAUGUGAAAGUUAUCCAACUGGAGCAUGAAGGGGUCGCAGAGAAAAGGCCCAAGCGACUGUUUACCAAAAACACAGGUUCCUGCUAAAUCGCAAGAUGACGUAUAGGAGCUGACGCCUGCCCGGUGCUGGAAGGUUAAGGGGAGAGGUUAGCGCAAGCGAAGCUUUAAACCGAAGCCCCAGUAAACGGCGGCCGUAACUAUAACGGUCCUAAGGUAGCGAAAUUCCUUGUCGGGUAAGUUCCGACCCGCACGAAAGGCGUAACGAUUUGGGCGCUGUCUCAACGAGGGACUCGGCGAACUUGUAGUGCCGGUAAAGAUGCCGGCUACCUGCGACAGGACAGAAAGACCCCGUGGAGCUUUACUGCAGCUUGACAUUGGAUUUUGGUAUUGCAUGUACAGGAUAGGUGGGAGGCUGAGAAGCCAGGGCGCCAGUUUUGGCAGAGCCACCGUUGGGAUACCACCCUUGUGAUAUUGAAAUUCUAACACGAGCCUUUGAAUCAAGGUUAUGGACAGUGUCAGGUGGGCAGUUUGACUGGGGCGGUCGCCUCCCAAAGAGUAACGGAGGCGCCCAAAGGUUCCCUCAGCGCGGUUGGAAAUCGCGCGCACAGAGUGUAAAGGCAGAAGGGAGCUUGACAGCGAGACAUACAGGUCGAGCUGGGACGAAAGUCGGGCUUAGUGAUCCGGCGGCAUUCGCGUGGAAGAGCCGUCGCUCAACGGAUAAAAGCUACCCCGGGGAUAACAGGCUUAUCUCCCCCAAGAGUCCACAUCGACGGGGAGGUUUGGCACCUCGAUGUCGGCUCAUCGCAUCCUGGGGCUGUAGUAGGUCCCAAGGGUUGGGCUGUUCGCCCAUUAAAGCGGUACGUGAGCUGGGUUCAGAACGUCGUGAGACAGUUCGGUCCCUAUCCGUCGCAGGCGCAGGAAACUUGCGAGGAGCUGUCCCUAGUACGAGAGGACCGGGAUGGACGGAUCACUGGCGUACCAGUUAUCGCGCCAGCGGUAGCGCUGGGUACCCAAAUCCGGCCGGGAUAAGCGCUGAAGGCAUCUAAGCGCGAAGCCCCCCUCUAGAUAAGGUUUCCCAUCCAGUUAAUGGAGUAAGACCCCUGGUAGACUACCAGGUAGAUAGGCCGGGCGUGCAAGCACAGCAAUGUGUGCAGCGGACCGGUACUAAUAGGUCGAGGGCUUGACCUG